GAUGAACGCUGGCGGCGUGCCUAAUACAUGCCAGUCGAGCGAACAGACGAGGAGCUUGCUCCUCUGACGUUAGCGGCGGACGGGUGAGUAACACGUGGAUAACCUACCUAUAAGACUGGGAUAACUUCGGGAAACCGGAGCUAAUACCGGAUAAUAUAUUGAACCGCAUGGUUCAAUAGUGAAAGACGGUUUUGCUGUCACUUAUAGAUGGAUCCGCGCCGCAUUAGCUAGUUGGUAAGGUAACGGCUUACCAAGGCAACGAUGCGUAGCCGACCUGAGAGGGUGAUCGGCCACACUGGAACUGAGACACGGUCCAGACUCCUACGGGAGGCAGCAGUAGGGAAUCUUCCGCAAUGGGCGAAAGCCUGACGGAGCAACGCCGCGUGAGUGAUGAAGGUCUUCGGAUCGUAAAACUCUGUUAUUAGGGAAGAACAAAUGUGUAAGUAACUAUGCACGUCUUGACGGUACCUAAUCAGAAAGCCACGGCUAACUACAUG
rnacentral:rRNA from 1 species